rnacentral:rRNA from 1 species
GACCAGACUCCUACGGGAGGCAGCAGUGGGGAAUAUUGCACAAUGGGGGAAACCCUGAUGCAGCGACGCCGCGUGAGUGAAGAAGUAUUUCGGUAUGUAAAGCUCUAUCAGCAGGGAAGAAAAUGGCGGUACCUGACUAAGAAGCCCCGGCUAACUACGUGCCAGCAGCCGCGGUAAUACGUAGGGGGCAAGCGUUAUCCGGAUUUACUGGGUGUAAAGGGAGCGUAGACGGCAUGGCAAGUCAGAUGUGAAAGCCCGGGGCUCAACCCCGGGACUGCAUUUGAAACUGUCAGGCUGGAGUGCAGGAGAGGUAAGUGGAAUUCCUAGUGUAGCGGUGAAAUGCGUAGAUAUUAGGAGGAACACCAGUGGCGAAGGCGGCUUACUGGACUGUAACUGACGUUGAGGCUCGAAAGCGUGGGGAGCAAACAGGAUUAGAUACCCUUGUAC